rnacentral:rRNA from 1 species
UACGUAGGGGGCAAGCGUUGUUCGGAAUUACUGGGCGUAAAGGGCGCGUAGGCGGCAUGGCAAGUCAGGAGUGAAAGGCCUGGGCUCAACCGAGGAACUGCUUUUGAUACUGCCAAGCUAGAGUGCGGAAGGGGCAACUGGAAUUCCCAGUGUAGCGGUGAAAUGCGUAGAUAUUGGGAAGAACACCUGAGGCGAAGGCGGGUUGCUGGGCCGACACUGACGCUGAGGCGCGAAAGCCAGGGGAGCAAACGGG